UGUGUUUUUCAUUAGCUUGUGAAUAUUUCCUCCUUAAUAGGAAUUUUUUCUUUUAAAUAUUUUUACUUUUUGUGCUUAUUUCAGUUCACUUUUAACCUGUAAUUCUUCUUAUCUCUCCUCACACCCAAAGCCAUUAUUUACAAUCAAAUAUCCUUUUAACACUGACUUCUUAUCAUUGAAGCCCAACUCUGUCCCCAUGUCAAUUGAAUGCCUUUUAACAGUGCCAUCAAAAGUUUAUAGCCCUAUAUUGUCUCAUUACGACUUGACCAGUUAUUUAACUGAAUCCUGAGAACUGCAUAAUUUUAUGUAGAUUUAUACAUUUUAUGCAGAUAGGUGAGAAUAUUUAAAAUACUCUUUUUACUUUUGUCUAUUCUAGGAAAGUUUGCUCUAGCUUGUUUUUACUUUUUGAUUUGAACUUCAAAUUGUUUCGUUUCUCUUUCUUCUGUACCCUUAGCAUAACUAUUUAAUCUGUUUAUAAAUGGAGGGAAUGAGGCAAGGAGCAUUCUGUCAAUCCAGUUCUACCAAUUUCUAUAUAUUAUUCCAAUUGCUCAAUUCUAAAACUGUAUUUUAAUAAUUUUGUAAGUUGAUAUAAAGCUAAUAGUAACUGUAAUGUUACAUAGUAUAUUAAAAGUGCUACUCAUAUUUUUAACUUUAAAUAGUAAUAUUUAAGGGGG